UUGAGAGUGUGAGCUGGAAAGUGAGCUUAGUUCAGGGUAUCUACGUGUUUGAGGGUGUGAGUUAGGAGCAGACGUUACACAAGAUCAGUGGAAGCGAGGGAAGUGAUGUGGAGAKUCAUGGCUCCGAAGCAGAAGGCAGGGAGAAAGAGGACUUAGAGAUGACAGGAGGGAUAGAGGUGUGGAGGGAGCGAGGACGAGGAGGGAGAAGCGAGUGGAGUGAGAGGAACAUAGAGAGGAAGAGGAACAUGGAGAAGGAGAGCACACCAGAGAGGGGGAGCCUAUGUUUUCAUGGAGUGCUUCUGCUCCAAUUCUCACCAUUCACAAUUGUACCACACAGCUUACUUUGUGCAAUUUGUCUGUCUCAUUUGUUGCAUUUGGUUCCGAAAAGUGCAUGUACCUACAUAGUAACUGCUCAAAGCGGCUGCAUGGCAUAUUGCUACCUAUUUAUGGUACUCUGAGGGCUGCGUCAGUAGACCAGUGCGGGGACCCUGCAACGGCCCUUUCCCAGAAAUCGCAGGCGCUGGUCCCUGAAGGCAUUCAAAAUGCAGCUUGUACAUUCACUUGGCUACGGUGUUGUUACUCCGUCAUUUGAACAUAGGUCCACUCCCUGGUGAAGUUUGAAGGGCGCAAGAGAGGGUGUGUGGUGUGCAUCCGGAGUGGACGCAGGGAAAUGAGUGGGAGACGUGUAGAAACCUCCUUUGGGUGCUCUACGUGUUCUGUGGCACUUUGCAGGGUGGGGCAGUGCUUCCAGAAGUUCCACAACAUGUUGUAGGCUAAAUGMAAACACUAAAGUGACAGUGUGAAAUAUGAAUUUGUCCUACAAAUCUUUUGGGGAAAUUGUAUACUAAACAUGUGUUUUGUAUCUUCUCUCUAUUUGUCUGCAUUCACUGAAUUGUUGUCAAAGUAGGCUACUAUUUCUACAUUUUGUUUCAGGACUGGUUUGUACUAAAUCUCAUUGAGAGAGAUUAUCUACAUUUUGAAUAUCUCUGAAUAGUUGUUAGCAUUGUUAGAAGUAAGUAGCGUUGUCAAUCAAAAAACCUACUUUGUGUGGGUUUUGAAAAACUUUCUGAAUAUUGUCCUCUGGUCACAUUUUGGAUAAUUGUUUCAAUAUUUAUAAUAUACAAUUUAAAUACUCUAGUUUGAGUGUAAAAAAAAUAACACAAAUUAGUGUUAUUCCUAUUGACAUGAAUGUGGUGUCAUAUUAAAGAAGAGGUAGUGGUCUUUAAAACUAA